rnacentral:rRNA from 1 species
GACGAACGCUGGCGGCGUGCCUAAUACAUGCAAGUAGAACGCACAGUUUAUACCGUAGCUUGCUACACCAUAAACUGUGAGUUGCGAACGGGUGAGUAACGCGUAGGUAACCUGCCUGGUAGCGGGGGAUAACUAUUGGAAACGAUAGCUAAUACCGCAUAAUAUUGAUUAUUGCAUGAUAAUUGAUUGAAAGAUGCUAUUGCAUCACUACCAGAUGGACCUGCGUUGUAUUAGCUAGUAGGUGAGGUAACGGCUCACCUAGGCGACGAUACAUAGCCGACCUGAGAGGGUGAUCGGCCACACUUGGACUGAGACACGGCCCAGACUCCUACGGGAGGCAGCAGUAGGGAAUCUUCGGCAAUGGACGAAAGUCUGACCGAGCAACGCCGCGGGAGUGAAGAAGGGUUUCGGAUCGGAAAGCUCUGUUGUAAGAGAAGAACGGGUGUGAGAGUGGAAAGUUCACACUGUGACGGUAUCUUACCAGAAAGGGACGGCUAACUACGUG